GUUGAAGCAUGAUCGUAAGGACAUGUGGAGCGCUUAGAAGUGAGAAUGCCGGUGUGAGUAGCGAAAGACGGGUGAGAAUCCCGUCCACCGAUUGACUAAGGUUUCCAGAGGAAGGCUCGUCCGCUCUGGGUUAGUCGGGUCCUAAGCUGAGGCCGACAGGCGUAGGCGAUGGAUAACAGGUUGAUAUUCCUGUACCACCUAUAAUCGUUUUAAUCGAUGGGGGGACGCAGUAGGAUAGGCGAAGCGUGCGAUUGGAUUGCACGUCUAAGCAGUAAGGCUGAGUAUUAGGCAAAUCCGGUACUCGUUAAGGCUGAGCUGUGAUGGGGAGAAGACAUUGUGUCUUCGAGUCGUUGAUUUCACACUGCCGAGAAAAGCCUCUAGAUAGAAAAUAGGUGCCCGUACCGCAAACCGACACAGGUAGUCAAGAUGAGAAUUCUAAGGUGAGCGAGCGAACUCUCGUUAAGGAACUCGGCAAAAUGACCCCGUAACUUCGGGAGAAGGGGUGCUCUUUAGGGUUAACGCCCAGAAGAGCCGCAGUGAAUAGGCCCAAGCGACUGUUUAUCAAAAACACAGGUCUCUGCUAAACCGUAAGGUGAUGUAUAGGGGCUGACGCCUGCCCGGUGCUGGAAGGUUAAGAGGAGUGGUUAGCUUCUGCGAAGCUACGAAUCGAAGCCCCAGUAAACGGCGGCCGUAACUAUAACGGUCCUAAGGUAGCGAAAUUCCUUGUCGGGUAAGUUCCGACCCGCACGAAAGGCGUAACGAUUUGGGCACUGUCUCAACGAGAGACUCGGUGAAAUCAUAGUACCUGUGAAGAUGCAGGUUACCCGCGACAGGACGGAAAGACCCCGUGGAGCUUUACUGUAGCCUGAUAUUGAAAUUCGGCACAGCUUGUACAGGAUAGGUAGGAGCCUUUGAAACGUGAGCGCUAGCUUACGUGGAGGCGCUGGUGGGAUACUACCCUAGCUGUGUUGGCUUUCUAACCCGCACCACUUAUCGUGGUGGGAGACAGUGUCAGGCGGGCAGUUUGACUGGGGCGGUCGCCUCCUAAAAGGUAACGGAGGCGCUCAAAGGUU
rnacentral:rRNA from 1 species